AAGAACCAUUUUUUUCUUCCAGGAGCAGAUUGAUCUUCCAGAGGUUCCCUCAGAGCCUCUCCCAGAAAAGAUUUCAGAAAAAUCGCCCAUCAGAAUCAAACCAAAGCCAGAAUUGAUUGCUGCAUCUUAACUCCACUACCUGCGGGGUAUCUCUGCAUUGAAUCUCGGAAUCCCAGCACGCCUGGGGUAUAGGAGGCCUCCUUGCUGGCUUUACCCAGCCAUACUGGAGCAGGUUUUCUGCACAGAAUGGAAGCUGUAACUGGUUAAUGUUCCCAUAUCAAGGUUAUUUUGUAGCGUGCACACUCCUCCUUUUUGUAACUUAAACGGGAUUAAACGGUGACUCUUAAACCUUCCAAGCCAAAUGCUUUCUGCGACCAGAUUUCAGCUACAGACCUGCCUCAGAUGCCAGCAGAGCCUCCCUGUCUUUCGCUCUCGCUCUCUCAGUUCCUGAUAACACGUUGGAGCAUGUUGUCACUGCUCGGCUAUCCAGAGGAAAGAACUUCUGUGGAACUUCUUGGCCUUCCUCUUGACUCAUUUCUCACUGGCUUUUCUGAAAGGCUGUUUUCUUUUGGCAAGGAUGGAAUCUCUGAACCUUGUUAAAUCUGUGGGUUUUGUGUGCCAAGAUGGGAGCAUCUCUUCUAUUAGUAGUUCCAGCUUCUUGUGUUAGGCUGCUAGUGGAGAUUCGAGAAGUUGAUUCCGUGUUCAGUGUGCUCUUGAGGUUAAUGCACUCCUAGGCCUGGGCACUGGGGAAUAAUGCAAGGCUGAUGGGCUCAUUCAUUAGAAGAAAUAAGUUUUGUUUCCUGCUGUGGGAGAAGUCUAAAUGGCUUGCUAAGGGUUUAUGCUUCGUGUGCUUCCCAGGCCGCCUGCUUUUUCCUUUGCCUCCAGAGUCCCACAGCAUGAAGAGGCUGAACAUAAGUUUGGCUUCUGAUAGCUUCUCAAAAACAAAUGAGUACAGUCAUAGCAGAGGGCUUUGUUAUGGCUCGGGCCCUCUUCAGCUUCGUAGAUCUGGGCAGUGGGCAUACUUUUUGUUUUUAAUGACAGAGCCACUUCUCAUCUUCAUUUGUGGGUUACUAGGUGGGCUUAAGAGCAGAGUGAAACAAUGCCACCCACAUGAUGCUCCUCAUAGAAAACCUGAAUGUCCCUUCACUAGUUAACACUUGAAGGCUGGGCUGUGAGAUAAAUAGACUUCCCUUGAGAGGAUGGUUCAUAUAUCAAUAAUACCCCAUCAUGUUGUAUUGAUUUUGAAAGUAUUCAAUUUACUUUGGGCUGGUAGUUAAACAAUGAAGGGGACUUGAAAGUUGCCUGUUCCCAGAUUGGACAAGAUAACGGCUGCAUUUGCAUUGUUCACCAGAGGGCAGUCUUACUCUAAGCUCUUCAUAACUAUGACUGAAGAAACAUUGAGUUGUGUGUCUUCACCUCUGAAUUGCUCCAGAAGGGUUACAUUUAUUUUUUAUUUCUUCAAGCAAAUGGCAAGGGAGCACCUGAAGGAAUGCAAGGUCCUGCUCUGGUGGUGUCCUGGGUAUCACACAGAUGGGGUUUCUUAAAAGGGCUUUAUUAGACAACCCCACACACACACCCACACCCCCGGUUUACAAUACAGCUCAGUGCCUGGGGAAAUAGAUGGAAUAAUGCUUCUGCUUUUUCCUUGCCAGUAAGAACAGGAACGAGAAGAACUAAUGAAAACCAAAUCUGCAAAGCCCAUGAAGAGAAAACACUACUGUGUGCCACGUGGCCUUAGAGAACAGGCUUGGACUUAGCUAAAUCGCUUUGUGAUUUCCUGAUCCAUACUCUUCUUGAUGACUCAGGUGGAAUUAAAAGUGUUGUUUAGCCUCCAG